rnacentral:rRNA from 1 species
UUGUCUCAAAGAUUAAGCCAUGCAUGUCUCAGUACAAGCCAUUAAUAAGGUGAAACCGCGAAAGGCUCAUUAAAUCAGUUAUGGUUCCUUAGAUCGUACCACAUUUACUUGGAUAACUGUGGUAAUUCUAGAGCUAAUACAUGCAAACAGAGCUCUAACCGGAGACGGGAGGAGUGCUUUUAUUAGAUCAAAACCAAUUGUGGCGUCCCGGGCUCCAUAUGCUUCUGUAUCUUUGCAUACGUUCAUAUGUCCCGGUGUGCGUCGCACAUAAAACUGGUGAAUCUGAAUAACUUGCUGAUCGCAUGGUCUAGUACCGGCGACGCAUCUUUCAAAUGUCUGCCUUAUCAACUUUCGAUGGUAGGAUCUGCGCCUACCAUGGUUGUAACGGGUAACGGGGAAUCAGGGUUCGAUUCCGGAGAGGGAGCUUGAGAAACGGCUACCACAUCCAAGGAAGGCAGCAGGCGCGCAAAUUACCCACUCCCGGCACGGGGAGGUAGUGACGAAAAAUAACGAUACGGGACUCAUCCGAGGCCCCGUAAUCGGAAUGAGUACACUUUAAAUCCUUUAACGAGGAGCAACUGGAGGGCAAGUCUGGUGCCAGCAGCCGCGGUAAUUCCAGCUCCAGUAGCGUAUAUUAAAGUUGUUGCGGUUAAGAAGCUCGUAGUUGAAUUUGUGUCUCGCGCUGUCGGUUCAUCGCCUGCGUGCGGUGCUAACUGGCACGCCGCGGGACGUCUUGCCGGAAGGACCGGUAUGUGUUUCGCUUCGUGUCGUUCUUAACGUCCAUGUACUCUAAAUAUAUAUACGUUAAAUUUAUGUUAUGUGCAUGCACGUGUGUACGUUUCAUCGAUCAUAUUAAAAAAAUGAUUCGAUGUUCGUUUAUCGUGUGUCAUGUAUCAUUUCAUUAUUUAUACGUUUUAUAAUAUUGUCAUGGCUCCGUUUCGCUUCGGCCGGCUUAGUGCAUACGUAGUCCGACUUUCAAUCCUGUCUAGGUGCUCUUAACUGAGUGUCGUGGCGGGCCGGCACGUUUACUUUGAACAAAUUAGAGUGCUUAAAGCAGGCUAUUGUUGCCUAAAUACAGUGUGCAUGGAAUAAUGGAACAGGACCUCGGUUCUAUUUUGUUGGUUUUCGGAAUUUCGAGGUAAUGAUUAAUAGGGACAGAUGGGGGCAUUCGUAUUGCGACGUUAGAGGUGAAAUUCUUGGAUCGUCGCAAGACGGACUUAAGCGAAAGCAUUUGCCAAAGAUGUUUUCAUUAAUCAAGAACGAAAGUCAGAGGUUCGAAGGCGAUCAGAUACCGCCCUAGUUCUGACCAUAAACGAUGCCAGCUAGCGAUCGGCCGACGUUCCUCCGAUGACUCGGUCGGCAGCUUCCGGGAAACCAAAGCCUUUGGGUUCCGGGGGAAGUAUGGUUGCAAAGCUGAAACUUAAAGGAAUUGACGGAAGGGCACCACCAGGAGUGGAGCUUGCGGCUUAAUUUGACUCAACACGGGAAACCUCACCAGGCCCGGACACCGGAAGGAUUGACAGAUUGAGAGCUCUUUCUUGAUUCGGUGGGUGGUGGUGCAUGGCCGUUCUUAGUUGGUGGAGCGAUUUGUCUGGUUAAUUCCGAUAACGAGCGAGACUCUAGCCUACUAACUAGACGUACAUACUCGAUUUUCGAGAGCCCGGUAUUCCGAGGGUCGCUCCCGCUUCUUCUGGCCGUCGUUCGUGCGCGUCCUGUGCUUCUAAAGUAACGGUACGUGUUUUGUCUUGUACUCGUGUCGGCGGCGAUACUGGUUGCUUGCGGGCGAUCUUUACUACCGGCGUACACAUAAAUCUUCUUAGAGGGACAGGCGGCUUCUAGCCGCACGAGAUUGAGCAAUAACAGGUCUGUGAUGCCCUUAGAUGUUCUGGGCCGCACGCGCGCUACACUGAAGGAAUCAGCGUGUCCUCCCUGGCCGAGAGGUCCGGGUAAUCCGCUGAAACUCCUUCGUGCUAGGGAUUGGGGCUUGCAAUUAUUCCCCAUGAACGAGGAAUUCCCAGUAAGCGCGAGUCAUAAGCUCGCGUUGAUUACGUCCCUGCCCUUUGUACACACCGCCCGUCGCUACUACCGAUUGAAUGAUUUAGUGAGGUCUUCGGACCGGUACUCGGCCGACGUUUCGACGUCGCCGACGCUGCUGGGAAGAUGACCGAACUUGAUUAUUU